rnacentral:rRNA from 1 species
GUCUAAUACCGGAUACUGACCCGCCUGGGCAUCCAGGCGGUUCGAAAGCUCCGGCGGUGCAGGAUGAGCCCGCGGCCUAUCAGCUUGUUGGUGAGGUAACGGCUCACCAAGGCGACGACGGGUAGCCGGCCUGAGAGGGCGACCGGCCACACUGGGACUGAGACACGGCCCAGACUCCUACGGGAGGCAGCAGUGGGGAAUAUUGCACAAUGGGCGAAAGCCUGAUGCAGCGACGCCGCGUGAGGGAUGACGGCCUUCGGGUUGUAAACCUCUUUCAGCAGGGAAGAAGCGCAAGUGACGGUACCUGCAGAAGAAGCGCCGGCUAACUACGUGCCAGCAGCCGCGGUAAUACGUAGGGCGCGAGCGUUGUCCGGAAUUAUUGGGCGUAAAGAGCUCGUAGGCGGCUUGUCGCGUCGGUUGUGAAAGCCCGGGGCUUAACCCCGGGUCUGCAGUCGAUACGGGCAGGCUAGAGUUCGGUAGGGGAGAUCGGAAUUCCUGGUGUAGCGGUGAAAUGCGCAGAUAUCAGGAGGAACACCGGUGGCGAAGGCGGAUCUCUGGGCCGAUACUGACGCUGAGGAGCGAAAGCGUGGGGAGCGAACAGGAUUAGAUACCCUGGUAGUCCACGCCGUAAACGGUGGGCACUAGGUGUGGGCGACAUUCCACGUCGUCCGUGCCGCAGCUAACGCAUUAAGUGCCCCGCCUGGGGAGUACGGCCGCAAGGCUAAAACUCAAAGGAAUUGACGGG